rnacentral:rRNA from 1 species
AUGUAUGGUAAAAAUCGACACUUCAACUUUGUUUGGUUUGAGAACUACAAAUGGCUAGAAUAUAGUGUCAAAUAUGAGGCUGCAUUUUGCUUUGUGUGUUAUUUGUUCAAAGGCAAAUCGAAUGGGGGGCCUAAGGGUGAUGCCUUUGUUAAAGGUGGUUGGAAAAAUUGGUAUAAGCCUGAUGCAUUAGACAAACAUGAGGGUGGUAUUAACAGCAUUCACAACAAAGCUCAAGAGAAGUACAAUUUAUUUGUGGCACCCCAACCAUCAAUUGAUAACAUUAUGGUGAGGGUGGAUAAAGAGGAUUUGCGUAUGUACAAGGCUAGGCUGACUUAUUCACUUAGAUGCUUGAGGUUUCUUUUGAACCAAGGAUUGGCAUUUCGUGGACAUGAUGAGAGUGAAGAAUCUAGCAAUAGGGGGAACUUUGUUGAACUUCUUAAGUGGCUUUCGGAAAAUGAUGAAGAAGUUAAUAAACUUGUUGUGAACAAUGCUCCUGGGAAUUGCAUCUUGACUAGUCCAAAGAUACAAAAUCAAAUAAUUGAAUGUUGUGCGGUGCAAACAACUAAAAGAAUUAUUGAAGAUAUUGGUGAUGACCACUAUGCAAUCCUAGCUGAUGAGUCUAGUGAUGCAUCUCAUAAAGAACUUGCUCUCUGCAUAUGA